UGGAAACUNUCUGACUUGAGUGCAGAAGGGGAGAGUGGAAUUCCAUGUGUAGCGGUGAAAUGCGUAGAUAUAUGGAGGAACACCGGUGGCGAAAGCGGCUCUCUGGUCUGUAACUGACGCUGAGGCUCGAAAGCGUGGGGAGCGAACAGGAUUAGAUACCCUGGUAGUNCACGCCGUAAACGAUGAGUGCUAGGUGUUAGGUCCUUUCCGGGACUUAGUGCCGCAGCUAACGCAUUAAGCACUCCGCCUGGGGAGUACGACCGCAAGGUUGAAACUCAAAGGAAUUGACGGGGGCCCGCACAAGCGGUGGAGCAUGUGGUUUAAUUCGAAGCAACGCGAAGAACCUUACCAGGUCUUGACAUCCCUCUGACCACUCUAGAGAUAGAGUUUCCCUUCGGGGCAGAGGUGACAGGUGGUGCAUGGUUGUCGUCAGCUCGUGUCAUGAGAUGUUGGGUUAAGUCCCGCAACGAGCGCAACCCUUAUUGUUAGUUGCCAUCAUUCAGUUGGGCACUCUAGCGAGACUGCCGGUAAUAAACCGGAGGAAGGUGGGGAUGACGUCAAAUCAUCAUGCCCCUUAUGACCUGGGCUACACACGUGCUACAAUGGCUGGUACAACGAGUCGCAAGCCGGUGACGGCAAGCUAAUCUCUGAAAGCCAGUCUCAGUUCGGAUUGUAGGCUGCAACUCGCCUACAUGAAGUCGGAAUCGCUAGUAAUCGCGGAUCAGCACGCCGCGGUGAAUACGUUCCCGGGCCUUGUACACACCGCCCGUCACACCACGAGAGUUUGUAACACCCGAAGUCG
rnacentral:rRNA from 1 species